rnacentral:tRNA from 1 species
GGAGAGGUGCCAGAGUGGACGAUUGGGAUCGCCUGCUAAGCGAUUGUCUGGGUAACACUGGACCGUGGGUUCGAAUCCCACCCUCUCCG